UUUCCCGAAAAGGUCAUCUCAAAGCCUUUACCAUUUUCAGGUUUGUGAUUGGUCGGGAGAAGCCCGGGGAGCAGAGUGAAGUUGCUCAGCUGAUCCAACAAACUCUGGAACAGGAAAGAUGGCAGCGAGAGAUGAUGGAGCAGCGAUACAAGCAGUACAUGGACGAUGAGGAGGAGACGGGUGAAUAUGCGACGGAUGAGGAUGAGGAGAUGAGUCCCAUGUUUCCAAAUUCCAUCGAGGUUUUCGAUCUGGCGGAGCACCAAGACUCGCUGUCUCCUGUAGAGCUGGACCCUGAGAAGUUGACCCACA